rnacentral:lncRNA from 1 species
CUUCUUGAAGCCUAGGCCUAGACAAAUUGCACUGGGUGAGAAUAAUCCCAGGUUCUGAUCCUAGUUCAAUAACUAGGAGAUCUGGAAUAUACCUCUUCCCUUUCUGCACUUUUCUUUCCAUCAUUGGUAAGAGGAAACCAAGGCAGUAACUGCUAAAGCUGAACUUUGGGGGCCUAGGGAUGUAGCCCAGCAGUAGAACAAUUGUCUUGCACGUGCCCUGCUGUGGGUUGAAUUCCCAGCGCAUGCACACAUGCGAACACAUGUACGAAAUGUAAAUCUGAACAUCACACAUUCCUUGUGAGCAACAAUUUCAAUCCUAGGUUAUAGACAUAAAAAUGAGUCUAUUAAUGAACCCAGAUACGUGUUUUAGAAAGUUCAUAGUAACACCAUUCAAAUACUUACUAACAGCUGAAUGACGGUGAUAGUCACAGUAAUGAGAAUGAAUAAUUUGCAGCAAUAGAAUGUAUCUUACAAUAUAAUGUUGAGUGAAAACAAAACUGACACAAAAGAACACAAACUAUCAUUUUAUUCAUAAAUUCUUAAAUGGGCAAAACAAAUUUACGUUGGAAGUUGAGAUAGUGAUGGAGUGCAGGGCACAAGGGAGGCUAUGGGAGCUCAUGUUCCUUGGUCUGACUACUGGUUGCAGGGAUAUAUUAAUUCUAAAAUUAAUGGAUACACAUUUGAUAAUUUGAGCAAAUUUCUGCAUGCAUAUUGUAAUUUAAUAAAAAUUUACUAAUAUAUCACACAAAACAAUAUUAAAAAAUGAAGCCCCGGAUGAUAUGCCCCAUAGGAUCCCUAUUAAAUUCCCUUUUCUAACUUCUGUCACUCAAAAGUCCACAGGUCUUAACCUAGGCCAGUCCUGUCACCAGUUCUUCCUUUAGGAGAUAUGUUUCUAGCUAGCUUUUGCUGCCUUCAGCCAUCAAGCAAUGUUCCUAUCCUGGUCCUG